AGGUAAAUCACAUAUUUCAGAGUUCAAGUCUAUGCAAUGUUAUUGACAGUUAGCUGCUACGUUGAAAUCUUCAAUAUAAUGCAGAGAGAGUCUAUUUUGCAGUUAUUCACAUCUUGGUAGACCGGCCAUCUAGAUAAAUUUUAUAUUUGAAUUAGAGAGGCCAUCUUAAAUGUAAUUCUUGACACCCAGAAGAACAGAAGUAUGUUUCUAUAAAUAUCAGGCGCCUUCGUUCUAAAAAGUUUGGAAUGGGUUAUUCUGCUCACAAUUUUUUUUUAUAUCGUCUGUGCAAAUAUGAGACUCAUGAAUAGUUAUAUGUUGAAGCUUGAACAGAGAUGUCGGUGCAUUGAAAGCUUAAGGAAAAGAAAGGAGCAGUUGAUUCAGAAGGAUUCAAACGCAUGACUAGAUCUUUGAACCAUUGUACUUGGACUGUAGAUAAGCUGACUAUGUAUAAUGGUUAAUGUACUGCCGACGAAGGGAAUUUGUAAAACAGUUCAUCUAAAAUAUAAGGCUUUUGAAUGA